UAGUCUGGGAAACUGCCUGAUGGAGGGGGAUAACUACUGGAAACGGUAGCUAAUACCGCAUAAUGUCGCAAGACCAAAGUGGGGGGACCUUCGGGCCUCAUGCCAUCAGAUGUGCCCAGAUGGGAUUAGCUAGUAGGUGGGGUAAUGGCUCACCUAGGCGACGAUCCCUAGCUGGUCUGAGAGGAUGACCAGCCACACUGGAACUGAGACACGGUCCAG
rnacentral:rRNA from 1 species